CCCCCCUUUUCUCCCAAAACUUAGUAUAAGAGUGCCAAUCAAUCACAAAAAGCUUUAUUAUAAUUAUUACACGUAUAAUCCUCUGACAUCCCCCCACCCCAAAUGUCAGAUGCUUUGCUACGUCCCUGAUGGUUGUAUUCGAAACCGAUUUCAGUUUUAAGAUAUCCUUAGUCUGCUCUUCUAAAUGGAUACAUGAAAUCACCUAUAGCUUAUUUAAAAAUUUUUUGCGCCAGGUUUGUGAAGUAAUUU